rnacentral:lncRNA from 1 species
UUUCUUGAUUUAUCUAUUUAUAUCUUUUCCCUUUCUCUAUUGGACUAUCUUUUUUUUUUCUUUUGCCUUUUCCACAGAAAGGAAUGGACUAUCUUUUUUUUUUGUUGUUAGUUUGCAGAAGUUUGUUUUAUGUUAUAGAAAUUAAUUUUUUGUCGCCGGGCGCGGUGGCUCACGCCUGUAAUCCCAGCACUUUGGGAGGCUGAGGCGGGUGGAUCACGAGGUCAAGAAAUUGAGACCAUCCUGGUCAACAUGGUGAAACACGUCUCUACUAAAAAUACAAAAAAUUAGCUGGGCAUGGUGGCAUGCGCCUGUAAUCCCAGCUACUCAGGAGUCAGCAGGAGAAUUGCCUGAACCCAGGAGGCAGAGGUUGCGGUGAGCCGGGAUCACGCCAUUGCACUCCAGCCUGGGUAACAAGAGCGAAACUCCAUCUCAAAAAAAAAAAAAAAAAAAAAAGAAAUUAAUCUUUUGUCUAUCAUCUGAAUGAUAUUUUUACAGAUCUAUUGUUUGUUCGAAGAUCUGUUGUUUAUCAACUUAGUUUAUGCUAACUUUUGCCAUAUGAAAGCUUUCAAAAAUAUGUCAAAUAUAUAUAUUUUUUUUUAUAAAAGUAUAAAAAUUAUCCCCAGCUACUUGGGAGGCUGAGACAGGAGAAUUAUUUGAACCUGGAAGGUAGAGGUUACAUUGAGCCAAGAUUGUGCCACUGUAUUCCAGCCAAGGUGACAGAGUGAGACUGUCUCAAAAAUAAAAUAAUAGGCUGGGCCUGGUGGCUCACGCCUGUGAUCCCAGCACUUUGGGAGGCUGAAGCAGGCAGAUCACAAGAUCAGGAGUUCAAGACCAGCUGGGCCAAUAUGGUGAAACCCUGACUCUACUAAAAAUACAAAAAAAUUAGCCAGGCAUGGUGGCAUAUGCUUGUAGUCUCAGUUAUUCAGGAGGCUGAGACAGAAGAAUUAUUUGAACUUGGGAGGCGGAGGUUGCAGUGAGCCGAGAUGGUACCAUUGCACUCCAGCCUGGGUAACAAAACGAGACUCUGUCUCAAAAUAAAUAAAUAAAUAAUAAAUAAAUAAAAUUACUUUUCCAAUUUACACUAAUGAGCAAAGCAUGAAACUGUUGCCAAUAUGUGAUAUUCUUAAUGCAAAAAUUUUUUGACUUGGCUGGGUGUGGUGGCUUAUUCCUGUAAUGCCAGCGCUUUGGGAGGCUGAGGUGUUCAAGACUAGCCUGGGCAACAUAGUGAGACCUUAUCUCUGUAAAAGAAAAUAAAAAAAUAAAAGUAAAAAAAAAUUUUUGGGGCUUGGUUGAGUGGCUCGCAUUCUAAUCUUGGCAUUUUGGGAGGGUGAAGUGAGCAGAUUGCUUGAGUCCAGGAGUUUGAGAUCAGCCUGGGCAACAUGGUAAAACCUAUCUCUAUUAAAAAUACAAAAAAUUAGCCAAAUGUGGUGGUGUGCACCUGUAGUUCCAGCUAACCAAGAGACAGAUGGAGAGUCACCUGGACCUGGAAGGCUGAGGCUGCAGUGAGCCAUAAUCAUACCACUGCACUGCAGCCUGGGCAACAGAGACAGAGUGAGACCCUGUCUCAAAAAGAAAGAAGUAUUUGUUUUUUUUUUUAAAUAAACUGUUGAGAAAUGGAUUCUCCUUUAUGUUUAUG